rnacentral:rRNA from 1 species
GACGAACGCUGGCGGCGUGCUUAACACAUGCAAGUCGAACGGAAAGGCCCUGCUUUUGUGGGGUGCUCGAGUGGCGAACGGGUGAGUAACACGUGAGUAACCUGCCCUUGACUUUGGGAUAACUUCAGGAAACUGGGGCUAAUACCGGAUAGGAGCUCCUGCUGCAUGGUGGGGGUUGGAAAGUUUCGGCGGUUGGGGAUGGACUCGCGGCUUAUCAGCUUGUUGGUGGGGUAGUGGCUUACCAAGGCUUUGACGGGUAGCCGGCCUGAGAGGGUGACCGGCCACAUUGGGACGGAGAUACGGCACAGACUCCUACGGGAGGCAGCAGUGGGGAAUAUUGCACAAUGGGCGGAAGCCUGACGCAGCCACGCAGCGUGGGGGAUGACGGCCUUCGGGUUGUAAACCGCUUUCGCCUGUGACGAGGCGUGAGUGACGGUAAUGGGUAAAGAAGCACCGGCUAACUACGUG